rnacentral:lncRNA from 1 species
UAGAACAAUCAUUUAGUAUAAUGUUUAACCAUUAUGCCAGGGCAAUCUUAUAUCAGAAUGAUUUUAAAAAUUUAGAUCAAAUAUUAGAUAUAAUCUAACAAGCAUGCAUAAAGAUCAAAUCUCAAAAUAAAUCAGACAUCAUCAUUAAUUAUAAGAUUAAAGAUCUAAAAGAGAAUCUAAAUUUCAUACCUUUGCGCGGG